rnacentral:piRNA from 2 species
UCUCAAGUGAGAUGGAAGAUUUGCCGUAC